AGCUACGCAUAAAGACAUCGACGAAAGCAUCCAGAACUGGCUGAACAAAGCUCCUGCCAGGAUCAACUGAUCAACGCAAGAAAGAAAAAGAUGCAGCUUGGAUGGAAUUGCAGAGCACGUUUCGUCAUAAAUUAAUUGCUACUUAUAUUUUAAUUUGUAUUAAAGCUACGAAUAUAAAUAUAAAUAAAUUGAGUAAAAAAUA